UGCGUAGGUGGCGCUGCAAGUCAGAUGUGAAAUCCCCGGGCUUAACUCGGGGGUGCAUUUGAAACUGCGGUGCUUGAGUGCAGGAGAGGAAAGCGGAAUUCCUAGUGUAGCGGUGAAAUGCGUAGAUAUUAGGAAGAACACCAGUGGCGAAGGCGGCUUUCUGGACUGUAACUGACGCUGAUGCACGAAAGCGUGGGGAGCAAACA
rnacentral:rRNA from 1 species